GGGGCUGUAGCUCAGUGGCAGAGUGCUUGCCUUGCAAGUGUGAGGAACUAGGUUCAGUCCUCAGCACCA
rnacentral:tRNA from 1 species